AGGUCUUCCCUUGCUGGAGGGAGUGAAGAAUGCAAUCAACAAGGUAUCUGUCUUUGGACGCUACACAAUGCCUCAUUUGUUUUCUUGUAUGCAGGGCGAGCACUUUGCCUUAAUCAAUGUUUCUUUUUCCUGUUUGAUUAUAAAGUCUUUGGGACAAAGGACCAUCUCUUCAGUGUGUAUAUACAAUCCCUAGCAAAAUGGGGCCUAGAUCUUUGAUUGCGACAGCAUCUAGAGGCCAUAAUUCUGCUGCUACUACUAAGAAUGGGCAGAUAGUAACAAGGGAUGUAAUGGAGCAAAAGCAAUGGAGUGCUUUACUCUGAAUGCCCAGGAAGCAGCACAAUUGGAUCAGCACGAUUUCCAGGAAUAGUGAGCCUUGUAGUAUCAACUCUUCAAGUGAUGUCCAGCACAAGUCUGUGAGGGGAGCAGAAAAAUGGUUGAGAUUUCACAGGGCUCUGAGACUGGAGUUUUCCCUAUUAGGGGAAGGACAUAGUAAUUCAUUGUCCCUUCCGCUGUCUGUAUCCUACCAUCUUUGGAAGGCUGA